rnacentral:rRNA from 1 species
GAAUGAACGUUGGCGGCGUGGAUUAGGCAUGCAAGUCGAGCGAGAAGGAACCACUCAUCCGCUUCACAUUUAGCCCCCGGUCAGUGACCGGGGGUAAGGUGUGGACCAGAUGAGUGGUUCCGGACAGCGGCGAAAAGGGNGAGUAACGCGUAGUUACCUGCCCCAGGGUCCGGAAUAGCCACGGGAAACUGUGGGUAAUGCCGGAUAACAUCCGUUCUGUAACGGAGUGGAUCAAAGGUGNGAUUCCGCCCUGGGAGGGGACUGCGUCCUACUAGCUUGUUGGCGGGGUAAUGGCCCACCAAGGCAACAAUGGGUAGCGGGUGUGAGAGCAUGACCCGUCUCACU